rnacentral:rRNA from 1 species
UUAACUGAAGAGUUUGAUCAUGGCUCAGAUUGAACGCUGGCGGCAGGCCUAACACAUGCAAGUCGAGCGGAAACGAUGGUAGCUUGCUACCAGGCGUCGAGCGG